ACAGAUCAAGAAAUUCCUUUGAGCGUAGGUAAUUCUGGUGGCUUUUCUUGGGACUCGCAAAGCGACCCAUUCUGCUCGCCUAGCGAGCAUGACAGCUCAUGAACAAACUUUUGCUCCUUCAAGAUUAAUGUUUUGACUGACGAAUAAACCCCAUUUGAACCUGUUGGAAGCAUCUCAAGCCAUUCCCUUGUGUUGACUGAUCAUCUAAAAAGAACCCACAAAGUGUCUUGGAUGAUACUCAAG
rnacentral:lncRNA from 1 species